rnacentral:lncRNA from 1 species
AUGUCUGGGGGCAUUGAGACGUCCAGUGGUUUGUCUCACAGCCAAUAUGUGUCAGAACUAAGGCUUGAAGCCAUGGAGAAUCAAAGCUGUGGAGCUGGAGAAGAACGUGGGGGCUUCCAAGGGCAACUCCCUCCUUUUUCAGAUGAGGAAACUGAGGCUCAGAGGGUUGAAGCAACUCACCCAAGAUCACACAGACAGCAUCAAACAGACUGAAUUUGAACCCAGGGACUCUGAUGCCAAAUGUCUUGUUCAUCCUUGCCUCUGUCAAACCCCUCAUUUUAGAAGAAACUCAGUGGAAAUAUGACUUACUCAAGUUCUUCUAGUAAAUGAGUGGGGUCUGAGAUCACAGAAGAAUGCUGGGACUGAGUCCAAGCUAUCACUUUAUCCAACUGUCCAAGGUUACUCAGAGCCUUGGGGUUCCAACACCUUGGGGUUCUCUGCCUACAGAGCCCAGGCUCUUUGUGUGUAAAUUUAUUCACUAAGGUCUCCCCCUGAAAAAAGAUGAUGCAAACAAAAUGUGCACGUUUGCUCCCAAGUUCCUUUGUAUUAGGAGAAAACCUGGA